UUCACAAGGAACAAAGUGAAUGGCUACUGUUUUGAUUUAAAGCUUUUAAAUCAAAAGAAUACAUCUUCUACUCACAAGUGUCCAGGAAGAACAAUAGUGAUUUAAAAUCACUUUUCGGGGAAUUGUGUUAGUUUAAGUUGAUAGUUUACCCUUCAACCCUCACCUACCGUAAUGUAAACUCUUAAUGUAACAGUAGGGAGCGUAAGAAAAGUGAGGAAGCAGAGAAAAGGUUCCACACCGUACAGACAGUCAGUAAAAAAAGAGGUAAGCGUGCACAGCAACCGAAAAAUUAAAAAAGCUCAGCUGGAACCUCUGAGAACAAUGACUUAGACCGGCCAAUCACAGCGCGCCUACUUUUCACUCAACGUCCUAAUUCUGGCCAAUGACCAGCUCCAAUGGGCGGGGCCAGCCUUGACGCACUGAGGCUCGUGAUUGACGCAAGCUUUCUAAAUUUAGCCGAUGGCGGGCGGAGGCAGAGUGAGAUAGUAGAGAACCCAUUCAUUGCGCCAGCCCAACUAUUCUAGCGUUGCGACUAUGAUCCGGCCAAGCCAAAUAUAGUCGUAGACAGGUAUUUUUAGCCUCAAAGCGUGUCCCCGUUUUCAUUCGUAAAGGCAACCUGAGCGGCAUGGGAUCGGUGUGAAGGAAGCCACGGCUCCUCCAUUAGCACAUCAUUUGUAAACACGUUUCAAUAGUUUCACAGUCAUCUGCUGUUUCCUUCUCAGAGAUGUCACAGCAACAGAAGCCACACACUCAGAUGUUGUGAGCUUUCUCUGUCCGCGUGGAAAAGACCGGAAAAGUGGAGAGACGAAAAAGCACACACAUGCAACAGCGGGCUGGGCUAUCAGCUGCUUCCUCUGUGACCUCACUGCCGUGACGUGUAAAUCCAGAUUAACCUCCUCGCUUAUUCUGCCAGACGUACAAAGUGAAUAUGUGAAAACAACGGCCAGCUGCUGACUUCACACCAGCCUGUGUCUCAUCUGUAAGGUUUCCAGUGAGCUGCCAACCAUUCAUGGCUGAAUACAUCUUUUGUCCCCUGCGGGCAAAUGUAGGUGAGUUGUGGGAACUGGUGACUGAGGGAUUCUUUCCAAAGCAUUCUGAGCACGAAGAUUUUGAUUUAAUGACCGUUUCCUCUGAGUAAAAGAAAAAAACCCAGAAACAAAGUGGAAAAAAAACACUUAUUUUUUUUCCCUCAAUUCUGCUGCAAUUUUCCUGGAGCAGGACAUGGGAAUGAACUAAAGACAUAAACAAGGUACAGAAAAAGUCUAAAAAAAAAAUAAAUAAAAGCUAAAAUACAUUUUUUUACUCAAGCAGAGUAACUUAUCUCUAGAAAAUCAUUAACAGAUGUGGUCGUUUUACAGCCGCUGUAUUUGAACCUGUCUUUGUUGUUGUAUAGUAUAUGUUAAAAAUUCACUUUAUGCUUAAAAACUCUGGAUAUUGUAGGCCUAUUACUACCAAAAUUUAACUGAAUGGUUUCUGAAAACAACUGAAGAAAAAACAUUCAUUUCAUUAAAC